rnacentral:lncRNA from 1 species
UAAAGAGAUCCCUUUCUUUACAUUGUUACGCCUUAUAGUAAAUAUAUCUGUAUAAUUCAUUCUAUUCUUGCACCGCUUUUAGCUGUAUUACACUAUUACAGCAGAUGUUACACUAUUAUUUCCGACGCAAUAGCCCAUACAAUUAUUUUGAAUAGAUGUUGCACUUUUACAUUCAUAUUAUAAACAAAUUCAGAGAAAAUCUUACACUGUUUUCUGACAACUUACAGUAAAAUAUUUUUAAAAAAGUUCUUGCACCAACGAUUUUUCUUGCACUGGUU